GGGAAAGCGGGAGGGAGUAAGACCACAUGCAAGUCGAACGGCAGCACAGUAAGAGCUUGCUCUUACGGGUGGCGAGUGGCGGACGGGUGAGGAAUACAUCGGAAUCUACUUUUUCGUGGGGGAUAACGUAGGGAAACUUACGCUAAUACCGCAUACGACCUACGGGUGAAAGCAGGGGAUCUUCGGACCUUGCGCGAUUGAAUGAGCCGAUGUCGGAUUAGCUAGUUGGCGGGGUAAAGGCCCACCAAGGCGACGAUCCGUAGCUGGUCUGAGAGGAUGAUCAGCCACACUGGAACUGAGACACGGUCCAGACUCCUACGGGAGGCAGCAGUGGGGAAUAUUGGACAAUGGGCGCAAGCCUGAUCCAGCCAUACCGCGUGGGUGAAGAAGGCCUUCGGGUUGUAAAGCCCUUUUGUUGGGAAAGAAAAGCAGCAGGUUAAUACCCCGCUGUUCUGACGGUACCCAAAGAAUAAGCACCGGCUAACUUCGUG
rnacentral:rRNA from 1 species